UAUAGGUGAUGGAGUUCACCUUUAACCGCCGAUGGCUAAUGACUCCUGCUAG
rnacentral:ncRNA from 1 species